AAACACUUCGCUCCGCUCCAGGAUCACUGGCACAGGCCUUUGCCAGGGCGAACUCCGGGCAAGACCCGUGACCCCACCCCAGAAAACUCCCGACUCCCGGGCUGGAGAAGGUAGCCAAGAUCAUUCUCAGUUGCCAUAUGGCAAAGACACAGGAAGCUGCCCUGUGUAGAGACCCACAUGGCAAGGAACUGAGACAUCCUGCCAACAACCACCAGAGUCUGAGGCCUGCUGCCAUCACCACGUGAGUGAGACAUCUUAGAAGUGGAUCCUUCAGCCUAAGUCAAGCCUUCAGAUGAUUGCGUCUUGACUGCAGCCUCAUCAAAGACCUUGAACCAGAACCACCCAACUCAGUUACUCUCAAAUGCUUAACCCAUAGAAACUAUAGCGAUUAUGGCUUGCUAUGGCAGUCAGCCCCCAAGAUGGACCCCAUUGAUUCUGGACUCCUGGUGCCAAAACCAUUGUACCCAGAUCAACUGCAAACAAGAACAGAGUUUUAAUGGAAAUUUUAAACAAGUAAGAUGAAAAUCCUGAAGCAUUUCUUUCAAGAAUUGUAACAGGAGAUGAAACAUGGCUUUACCAGUAUAAUCCCGAAGACAAAGUACAAUCAGAGCAAUGGCUACCAAGAGGUGGAAGUGGUCCAGUCAAAGCAAAAGCAGACCUGCCAAGAGCAAAGGUCGUGGGAAUAGUUUUUUGGGAUACUUAUUUUGCUUGUUGACUUUCUGAAGAGCCAAAGAACAAUAAUAUCUGCUUGUUUCAAGAGUGUUUUGAGAAAGUUUGCUAAAGCUUUAGCAGAAAAAUUCCUGGAAAAGCUUCACCAGUCUUUUUCUACCGCAACAAUGCUCCCACUCAUUCUUCUCAUCAAACAAGGGCAAUUUUACAAGACUUUCAAUGAGAAAUCAUUAGGCAUCGACCUUACAGUCCUAAUUUGGCUCUUUCUAACUUCUUUUUGUUUCCUAAUCUUAAAAAAUCUGCAAAGGGCUCCCAUUUUUCGUCAUUUAAUCAUGUAAAAAAGACAUGGUUAAAUUUCCAUGAAUCUCAAUUUUUUUAGGGAUGGAUUAAAUGACUGGUGUCAUCACUUACAACCAUGGUUGACCUCGAUGGAGCUUAUGUUGAGAAAUAAAGUUUAUAUUCUUUAUCUUUUAAUUCAAUUUUUCCAUGAACAUUUUGAAGUGCCUCAUAUUAUAAAUGAUAUUUCAUUGUUAGUGGUUCAUUAAUAGGGUAUUUAAAUACAAUUCUUUUUUAAUAUUAGUCCUGUACACUGAGAUCAUGUUUAAAAACCUAUUAGUUCUAGUAGUAUUUUAUAGAUUUCUUUUGAUUUUCUAUGUAUACAAUCAUGUUUCUCCAAAUAAAGAGUUUUAUUUUUUUCCUUCCAUUCUGUAUGCUUUUAUUUCCUUUUCUUGCCCUAUUGCAUGGACUAGAACAUCCAGUACAAUGUUGAGCAGAAGUGAUGAGAAAUACAUCCUUACCUUGUUCCUGAUUUUCAGACAAAGCAUUCAGUGUUUUACCAUCAAGUAUACUAUCUUUAGGCUUUUUGUAUACGUAAUUUAUGAGGUUGAGGAAGUUCUCUUCUUUUCUUAGUUUGCUGAGAGCUUUUUUAUAUUUUUGAGAUAGGGUCUCAGUCACCUAGCCUGGAGUGCUGUCACGAUCAUGGCUCACUGAGCCUCAGCCUCCUGGGCUCAUGUGAUCCUUCCACCUCAGCCUUCUGAGUACCUGGGACUACAGAUGCAUACCACCACAUUCGGCUCAUUUUUUUGUAGAGACAGGGUUUCACUAUGUUGCCCUGGCUGGUCUCGAACUCCUGGACUCAAAUGAUCCUCUCACCACAGCCUCCCAAAGUGCUGGGAUCACAGACAUGAGCCACUGUGCUUGGCCUGUCAAGAGCUUUUUAAUCAUGAAUAAAUGUUACAUUUGUAUCAGUGCUUGGCAGUGGCGGGGCGGGGGGCGGCGUCUAUUGAGAUGAUUUUUGUUUUUGUGUGUAGACUAUUAAUAUGAUUAAUUAAGUUUUUUGAUUUUCAAAUGUCAAACUAACUUACAUUUCUGGGAU
rnacentral:lncRNA from 10 species